UUAUUACUCCCUCCGCCCGGAAAUAUUUGUCGGAGAAAUAAAUGUAUCUAGACAUAUUUUAGUUCUAAAUACAUCUAUUUUUAUCCAUUUGUGCGACAAAUAAUUUCGGACGGAGGGAGUAUUCA
rnacentral:pre_miRNA from 1 species